AUGAGUGAAUCUAUAACUAGCUAGUUGAUACUUGGCAGUACUUUCUCUUGCUUAAGCAAGACCCUGCAAUUAUUCGCAAGAAAGGAAAAUUAACAUCGGUGUAAAACUGUCGUCCUAGCAGGUAGCUAGUCUUUACUCUAGUGUGUCAUCCCGUGAAACCGAUGUCGAAACUAAAAAGGUUUGUCAUUUGUCAACCAGAUUGCUAGAAGGUCACUUGAAUGAUAGCAUAUUCUAACUGAAGCAACAAAGAAAGAAAGUAAAGAAAUAUCAAGGUGUUUGAGUGUCCCGGCAAAUUCAGCAACACAUACAAAAUUACUAGUAGGAGUCCAUAAGGAGUUGUAACAAGUUACUUUCCUGAUGAGUAAGUUUGCUGUUACUAAUUGGCACUUGGCAAGCUGGGAGUACUAUCCAUGCGUUGUGUUUCUUGCUUAAUCAAGGUCUGCGAGUCAAUGCCGUCUAACUAGACAGCCAGAAAAAUAACAUCACCAACCAAAUCUCUUGCUGACUAGUCGAUCAAUUUAUACCAAUAAAUAAAUUUAAGCUUCCUCACAUCACAUCUUAUGAUUGUGUGACAAAUUAAGGAGAAGGCAUCCAGGGAUGGCUGUCAUAUACCCUUCAUCAGGUGAAAUAUUUUCAAUGACCAACGAACCAAAAUGCACUUAGCCACUGAACACAACGCCGCCGCCACCACCUAGCAUUUUCGGAUAAAGCAAAUCAUUUGCUAAUGUCAGAGGUUCAGAGCACCUGCAUGUGGCACACAAUCGAAUACUUAUCAAUUCAGGACACAAAAGUUUGCGCAAAAAUACAUGAAAACACAUACUGUAGGAAAGGCAGCACACAUGUGCACCACGGGAAACACCAAAACAGCACCUAGACAGCCUCUGCAAUAAGAAAAAAGCAAGACGUGUGUUAGUGUUGUGAUGAAUAUAUGAGCUAGCUGAGAAAAAUAUGAGC
rnacentral:lncRNA from 1 species